UAUGAAUUGAGCAGAAGGAAACAAAGUUCUGCAGAUAAACACCAAUGAAACAAAAAACCACGAAUAAGAAAAAUGACAGAAAAGGAGAACCUUCCCAGAAUCCUCCUGCCAGUGAACGGUCACCAGAGCAAGAGCAUGGAGUCCCUGGGUUUUGAACUGUGAGAUAAGGAAGAUGAUGAAAACCUCCCUAGCAGCCAGCCAGGUACUAUUCUAGAUUGUCUUGUGAUAUUUACAAUCUAGGAGAAGGCAGGAGAGAGAACUAAGAACAGAGAGCAUGUUCUGAGAUGUCUGCUGUGUUUGCAGAAACUCCUGGAGGGCAGAGCCAUGCCUGCCAUUUUCAUCAUUGCAUUACCACCACCCAGCACAGUGCCUGGUACAAAAGAGUUGCUCAAUAAAUAAAUCAGGAUGAAUGGACAAAUACACGGAUAGGCACUUUGAACUACAGAUGAGCUUAAAUACUUUGUGUUUUUCUUAGUCAAACAUGUGCAAUUAAGCAUGUGAU
rnacentral:lncRNA from 1 species